rnacentral:rRNA from 1 species
GUGGGGAAUAUUGGACAAUGGGCGCAAGCCUGAUCCAGCCAUACCGCGUGGGUGAAGAAGGCCUUCGGGUUGUAAAGCCCUUUUGUUGGGAAAGAAAUCCAGCCGGCUAAUACCUGGUUGGGAUGACGGUACCCAAAGAAUAAGCACCGGCUAACUUCGUGCCAGCAGCCGCGGUAAUACGAAGGGUGCAAGCGUUACUCGGAAUUACUGGGCGUAAAGCGUGCGUAGGUGGUCGUUUAAGUCCGUUGUGAAAGCCCUGGGCUCAACCUGGGAACUGCAGUGGAUACUGGACGACUAGAGUGUGGUAGAGGGUAGCGGAAUUCCUGGUGUAGCAGUGAAAUGCGUAGAGAUCAGGAGGAACAUCCAUGGCGAAGGCAGCUACCUGGACCAACACUGACACUGAGGCACGAAAGCGUGGGGAGCAAACAGGAUUAGAUACC